rnacentral:rRNA from 1 species
UACGUAGGGCGCAAGCGUUGUCCGGAAUUAUUGGGCGUAAAGAGCUCGUAGGCGGCUUGUCACGUCGAUUGUGAAAGCCCGAGGCUUAACCUCGGGUCUGCAGUCGAUACGGGCUAGCUAGAGUGUGGUAGGGGAGAUCGGAAUUCCUGGUGUAGCGGUGAAAUGCGCAGAUAUCAGGAGGAACACCGGUGGCGAAGGCGGAUCUCUGGGCCAUUACUGACGCUGAGACGCGAAAGCGUGGGUAGCAAACAGG